rnacentral:rRNA from 1 species
GACGAACGCUGGCGGCGUGCUUAACACAUGCAAGUCGAACGGCAAGGCCCUGCUUUGGUGGGGUGCUCGAGUGGCGAACGGGUGAGUAACACGUGAGUAACCUGCCCUUGACUGUGGGAUAACUUCAGGAAACUGGGGCUAAUACCGGAUAGGAGCUCCUGCUGCAUGGUGGGGGUUGGAAAGUUUCGGCGGUUGGGGAUGGACUGGCGGCUUAUCAGCUUGUUGGUGGGGUAGUGGCUUACCAAGGCCUUGACGGGUAGCCGGCCUGAGAGGGUGACCAGCCACAUUGGGACUGAGAUACGGCCCAGACUCCUACGGGAGGCAGCGGUGGGGAGUAUUGCACAAUGGGCGGAAGCCUGAUGCAGCAACGCCGCGUGCGGGAUGACGGCCUUCGGGUUGUAAACCGCUUUCGCCUGUGACGAAGCGUGAGUGACGGUAAUGGGUAAAGAAGCACCGGCUAACUACGUG